rnacentral:rRNA from 1 species
GAACGCGAAGAACCUUACCAGCCCUUGACAUGCCCUGACGGCACCAGAGAUGGUGUCAUUCCUUCGGGACAGGUGCACAGGUGCUGCAUGGCUGUCGUCAGCUCGUGUCGUGAGAUGUUGGGUUAAGUCCCGCAACGAGCGCAACCCUCGCCCUUAGUUGCCAGCAUUCAGUUGGGCACUCUAGGGGGACUGCCGGUGAUAAGCCGAGAGGAAGGUGGGGAUGACGUCAAGUCCUCAUGGCCCUUACGGGCUGGGCUACACACGUGCUACAAUGGCGGUGACAGUGGGCAGCCAACCAGCGAUGGUGAGCUAAUCCCCAAAAGCCGUCUCAGUUCGGAUUGCACUCUGCAACUCGAGUGCAUGAAGU